GUUACCAGGCGGCUGCCACCCAUGAGCGUGCCCUGCCUAGGGUCGGGGCGCAGUCGGCGUCGCCGCGGCCGCACCGGCAGAGCUCGGGCCGGCCAGCGCAGCGGGGACUCGGCUUCCCGGGCACAUCCCCCAGACCCAUGUCACCCUGACUCUGUGGAGGGAAGCACGUGAGAACUGCACGGAGGAGGAGGAGGCUUGAAGUCAUGAACUAUGAAAUACUAGACAGCCCUCAAAAUAUAUUGACUGAAACUGAAACACCGGCCCCAGACAUGAACCUCGGUGAAUCUUCACCCAAGGAGGAGCCAGGAUCUCCACACCUACCUGCCCCUGUUUUAUGUCAUGGGUCAGCCACAACAAGAAGUCUCGGUUCACCACCUAUGGACUGUAAACUGCACUAGCCGAGGGCUCAAGGGUUAGCCCAUGUGACAACUUCCUGAGGUCCUGCUAUUGCCCAAAGAUCACAUUCCUUCCCAGGUCCAAAUGCAAAUUUGACUUCAGAACUCACCAGUAAACUAUGUCCCAUAGUCAACCAUUCCAAAUUGAAGAAGCUUGUAACCUUCAUUUACAUGAGAGGACCUCAGUGAGGACUUGGGCGGGAAGUCAGGUGGGAACUUUGGCUAUGUCAGAUGACCCUUUUACCUUUUCCCUUUCUCCCUUUUACCAGGGAGACACUGCUUUGGGAGUGAUCCCCAGUGUUCUCCUUACUUGCAAGUAAUAAAGCCUUUUCCUCCUA